rnacentral:lncRNA from 10 species
GGGAGCUUAGAUGUGGAAGCUCUUUGGAAACCAAGAAACACUCUGAAAAUGAAAAGGGUGGAAGAGUAAACUGUUCCUGUUUCUCCAUCUUGACAGGAAGCAGAAGUUCUCCUUAGCUGAUUUUUCUUCUUGCCUUAUACUGGGUUCUUUAACACCAGAACAAAAAUAAAUAAAUAAAAGAAUCUUCCAGAAAUUCAUGAAGAGACUUCAGGUCAGGAAAGCCUGAACUUUCUCAUCCAACACCCGUUCAAGUCGGAGGAUGCUGAUUAAUUCAUGAUGGAAAGGUAUCAAUUUCACAGCCCAGACCUCUACAUUCUUGAAAUGCUCUUCUCAUGGGAGACAUUAAAUAAGCUUUGAAUUAACUAAAAAUAUCCAACCCGAGCAGGAUAAAACUGAUCAUCCUGAGGAUAUUGCCCUUGGAGUUAAUUUUUUGAGAGAAAUAAAACAAUAAACAUCAUAAGACACAAACCCCAAGCAACUGAUCUCACUGUUAAAAUCCAACCUGAGAACAAUGGAAUGGGUAAGUAGAAUAUUUAUUUAUUAAAAGGGCAACAUCUCAGAAAUGAAAUUACAAUUUAGUUGGGAUAAAUUGUCUUAUAACUUCAUUUUUUUACAUUAAAGCUAUAAUUGAGGGGUAUUAUAUGCUGUUUAUCACUGCAAUGAAAAUGUAGUCAGAAUGAACUUCUCGAGGCUGUUAAACUGCCUCUUAUUAGCAUUGAAACUAUACUCACAGCCUAUUAUCUUAGGCUAUAUUUUUUGGUAUAAGGGAAUUGCUAUCAAAGUGUACU